AGAGCUAUAAUCAAAUAAAAAUAAUUAAUUAUUUUACUUUUAAAUCCACCUUAAAAUUAUUAUUUCAAAUAAUUUAACGUAUAAAUAAAUUUAUUGUAACCCAUCUCUACUAAAGCAUAAACUGCACCUUGACCUGACAUCAAUUAUAAUUAUAAAUUAAGAAAAUUAUUCCUCUUUUAAGAUAUUCUGAUAACGGCGAUAUACAAGUUGAAAACAAACUUUAGUAAGGUCCAACGUGGAUUAUCGAUUACAGGACAGGUUCCUCUAAAUAGACUAAAACACCGCCAAAUUCUUUAAGUUUGAAGAUCAUAUCUAUUACUACUCAAGCUUUAAAUAUUACUUUUUAAAUAAUAGGGUAUCUAAUCCUAGUUUAUCAUUAAAAUUUUCUAGCUUCAUCAAAUAAUUAUAUAUAAAACUAAUUAAAUUUAAAAUUUCACUUAAAAAAUUUAAAUUAAUUUUAAAUUAUUAACAAAUUAACUAUUACUAAUCAAUCUUAUUUGUAUUAUUUG
rnacentral:rRNA from 1 species